rnacentral:tRNA from 1 species
GGCGCAGUUGGCUAGCGCACCUGCAUGACGCGCAGGGGGUCACAGGUUCGAAUCCUGUA